rnacentral:pre_miRNA from 1 species
AGUGGGAUUUCUGAUUCAAAGGAUCAGUAUAUGCUUAACUUUAGAAGGGACUGCCAGACUGUUUUCCAGAGUGGCUGUUAACCAUUUUACAUUUCCACCAGAAAU